rnacentral:rRNA from 1 species
AGAGUUUGAUCCUGGCUCAGGACGAACGCUGGCGGCGUGCUUCACACAUGCAAGUCGAACGGGGAUGCAGCAAAAGCUUGCUUUUAUUGCAUCCUAGUGGCGGACGGGUGAGUAACACGUGAGCAACCUGCCCGACAUACUGGGAUAACAGCGGGAAACCGUUGCUAAUACCGGAUACUCCAUUUCUGGCGCAUGUCAGGAAUGGGAAAGGGUUUACCGAUGUCGGAUGGGCUCGCGUCCCAUUAGCUGGUUGGUGAGGUAACGGCUCACCAAGGCUACGAUGGGUAGCUGGUCUGAGAGGACGAUCAGCCACACUGGAACUGAGACACGGUCCAGACUCCUACGGGAGGCAGCAGUGGGGAAUAUUGCACAAUGGGCGAAAGCCUGAUGCAGCGACGCCGCGUGGAGGAUGAAGGCCUUCGGGUCGUAAACUCCUGUCUGGGGGGAUGAACACUGACAGUACCCCCGGAGGAAGCCCCGGCUAACUACGUGCCAGCAGCCGCGGUAAUACGUAGGGGGCGAGCGUUGUCCGGAAUUACUGGGCGUAAAGCGCGCGCAGGCGGCUUGUUAAGUCAGGUGUCAAAAUGCGGGGCUCAACCCCGUAUCGCACUUGAAACUGGCAGGCUUGAGUGCAGGAGAGGGAAGUGGAAUUCCUAGUGUAGCGGUGAAAUGCGUAGAUAUUAGGAGGAACACCAGUGGCGAAGGCGACUUCCUGGACUGUAACUGACGCUCAGGCGCGAAAGCUAGGGGAGCAAACAGGAUUAGAUACCCUGGUAGUCCUAGCCGUAAACGAUGGGUACUAGGUGUUGGGGGUGACAAUCCCCCAGUGCCGCAGUUAACGCAUUAAGUACCCCGCCUGGGGACUACGGCCGCAAGGCUGAAACUCAAAUGAAUUGACGG